ACAGUCAAGAAAGGUAUAGAUCCUGCAGACUGUGUGGAGGCCAUGCUUUCACAUCAAGCCUUCCUCAGUGACUUGCUGAGCCUGACUGUGUUCUUAUUUGCUGGGUCUCUCUCUGGAAAUCUCCACUUUGAGUGUUUCCAACAACUGUGAUUCCAUUUUUGUGAAUGGGAAGGAAAUGAAGAGCAAAGUGGACACGAUUGUGAACUUCACCCACCAGCACUUCACCUCCCAGUUCGAGGUCACUGUCUGGGCGCCCAGGCUCCCCCUGCAGAUUGAGAUCUCAGACACCGAGCUGAGCCAGAUCAAGGGCUGGAGGAUCCCGGUUGCUGCCAACAGAAGGCCUACCCGGGAAAGUGAUGAUGAGGACGAUGAGGAGAAGAAGGGACGAGGCUGCUCCCUGCAGUACCAGCACGCCACGGUGCGUGUCCUCACCCAGUUUGUGGCCGAGUCACCUGACUUAGGGCAGCUGACCUACAUGCUGGGCCCCGACUGGCAGUUUGACAUCACUGACCUUGUGACUGAGUUCAUGAAGGUGGAGGAGCCGAAAAUCGCUCAGUUACAGGACGGCAGGACCCUGGCUGGUCGGGAGCCGGGAAUAACCACGGUGCAGGUCCUCUCGCCGCUGUCUGACUCCAUCCUGGCUGAGAAGACGGUGAUCGUCCUGGACGACCGAGUCACCAUCGCGGAGCUGGGAGUGCAGCUCGUAGCUGGCGUGUCUCUCUCCCUGCAGCCACACCGAGCAGACAAAAGGGCCAUCGUCUCCACAGCUGCCGCCAUGGAUGUUCUUCAGUCCCCACAGCAGGAAGCAAUAGUAAGUUCUUGGAUUUUGUUCAGUGAUGGUUCGGUGACACCUUUAGACAUUUACGAUCCUAAGGAUUAUUCUGUUGCUGUCUCAUCAUUGGAUGAAAUGGUGGUGUCUGUCCAGGCAAACCUUGAGUCCAAAUGGCCAAUUGUGGUUGCAGAGGGUGAAGGACAAGGGCCUUUGAUUAAGUUAGAAAUGAUGAUAAGUGAACCUUGUCAGAAGACCAAGAGGAAGAGUGUUCUUGCCGUGGGUAAAGGAAACGUCAAGGUCAAAUUCGAACCAAGUAGUGAUGAGCACCAAGGAGGCAGCAAUGAUAUUGAGGGCAUAAAUCGGGAAUAUAAAGACCACCUCAGUAAUUCCAUAGAGCGCGAAGGAAACCAGGAGAGAGCAGUCCAGGAAUGGUUCCACCGUGGCACACCUGUUGGCCAAGAGGAAAGUACCAACAAAAGCACAACCCCCCAGUCUCCCAUGGAAGGGAAGAAUAAGUUACUCAAAAGUGGUGGUCCAGAUGCCUUUACAAGCUUCCCCACUCAAGGGAAGUCACCGGACCCCAAUAAUCCUAGUGACCUCACAGUGACCUCAAGGGGGCUAACGGACUUGGAGAUUGGCAUGUAUGCCCUGCUCUGCGUCUUCUGCCUGGCGAUUCUGGUCUUCUUGAUCAACUGCGUGGCAUUUGCCUGGAAAUACAGACACAAAAGGUUUGCUGUGAGUGAGCAGGGCAACAUGCCCCAUUCCCACGACUGGGUCUGGCUUGGGAAUGAAGUGGAACUUUUGGAGAACCCUGUUGACAUUACACUCCCAUCUGAGGAGUGCACAACCAUGAUAGACAGGGGCCUGCAGUUCGAGGAGAGGAACUUCCUUCUGAACGGCAGUUCCCAGAAGACUUUUCAUAGUCAACUACUCAGACCCUCUGACUAUGUCUAUGAGAAAGAAAUUAAAAAUGAACCUAUGAAUUCUUCGGGCCCAAAGAGGAAGAGAGUCAAGUUCACUUCCUACACCACCAUCCUCCCAGAGGACGGCGGCCCAUACACCAACUCCAUCCUGUUUGACAGCGAUGAUAACAUCAAGUGGGUCUGCCAAGAUAUGGGGCUGGGGGAUUCACAGGACUUUAGAGACUAUAUGGAAAGACUGCAAGACCAGAUGUAAACUCCUUUCUUAUGUUUGUAUUCACCUUUAUGCCUUCUGUUUUUUGAAUGCUGAAGCAGUGAGUUUGAUCAGCAAUAGGGGAUGAUUUAACAAAGUUUGAUUUGUGG
rnacentral:sRNA from 1 species